GACGAACGCUGGCGGCGUGCUUAACACAUGCAAGUCGAACGAAGAGCGAUGGAAGCUUGCUUCUAUCAAUCUUAGUGGCGAACGGGUGAGUAACGCGUAAUCAACCUGCCCUUCAGAGGGGGACAACAGUUGGAAACGACUGCUAAUACCGCAUACGAUCUAAUCUCGGCAUCGAGGAUAGAUGAAAGGUGGCCUCUACAUGUAAGCUAUCACUGAAGGAGGGGAUUGCGCCUGAUUAGCUAGUUGGAGGGGUAACGGCCCACCAAGGCGAGGAUCAGUAGCGGGUAUGCGAGGAUGAGCGGCCACAUUGGGACUGAGACACGGCCCAGACUCCUACGGGAGGCAGCAGUGGGGAAUCUUCCGCAAUGGACGAAAGUCUGACGGAGCAACGCCGCGUGAGUGAUGACGGCCUUCGGGUUGUAAAGCUCUGUUAAUCGGGACGAAAGGCCUUCUUGCGAAUAGGGAGAAGGAUUGACGGUACCGGAAUAGAAAGCCACGGCUAACUACGUG
rnacentral:rRNA from 1 species